GCAAAACAUGUCUAGUUAAAAACAUCGCCAAAGCGUGUGAUUUGUAUAAACGCCCAAACGUGUCCAUUUUUCAACAAACCCCAAAACGCGUCCAAUCCCAAAACGUGUCCAUAUCAAGCGUUAUUUGGUUAUUGCUAUUCCAUUAACGUAUACUAAUUUUACCAUUUCAUUAAAAAUAUAGAUAAGGUACUUUUUUAAACCGGCCGAAAAAACUGGGUAAAAGUGGGGGCGUCAUUUCGGCUAUGUUGUAUGUAAAUUGUAAGCAAACAUGUUUAGUUAAACUGUACAGUUAACGGACGAAAGUGUCCCUUUCUCUGCACAUUAAAAUUUGUAUGUUCUCUCUAAAUAUUGUGAAACACCGGCAACUGGACGAUCAACAGUCAAAUAUAUACAGUACAAAUGUAAAAAAAAAACAAAAACUUGUAACCUAUGUUCUCUCUAAAUAUGUAUGAAAUACUUGCAACUGGA
rnacentral:lncRNA from 1 species